ensembl:miRNA
UUAGCAAUGCAGACUCCAGGGCCCUUUGGUUGAGCUCCGGGGCCCGAGAGUCAGCAUUGUUAA